rnacentral:pre_miRNA from 1 species
AAAAAGACAAACCCUGGUUUUCGUGUCCAACGUUUGACCGUCCAUCUUAUUUGAAAAAAAUUAAAAAGAUAAGUCACGCAUAAAGUAUUAAUCUUGUUUUAUCAUCUAACAACAAUGAAAAUACUAAUUACAAAAAAAAUUUCAUAUAAGACAGACAGUCAAAUAUUGGCACGGAAACCCAGUGUUUGCCUUUUU